GACGAACACUGGCGGCGUGCUUAACACAUGCAAGUCGAACGGUGAUGCUCCAGCUUGCUGGAGUGGAUCAGUGGCGAACGGGUGAGUAACACGUGAGCAACCUGCCCCAGACUCUGGAAUAAGCGCUGGAAACGGCGUCUAAUACUGGAUACGAAACUGGCCCGCAUGGGCAUGGUUUGGAAAGUUUUUCGGUUUGGGAUGGGCUCGCGGCCUAUCAGCUUGUUGGUGAGGUAAUGGCUCACCAAGGCGACGACGGGUAGCCGGCCUGAGAGGGCGACCGGCCACACUGGGACUGAGACACGGCCCAGACUCCUACGGGAGGCAGCAGUGGGGAAUAUUGCACAAUGGGCGAAAGCCUGAUGCAGCGACGCCGCGUGAGGGAUGACGGCCUUCGGGUUGUAAACCUCUUUCAGCAGGGAAGAAGCGAAAGUGACGGUACCUGCAGAAGAAGCACCGGCUAACUACGUG
rnacentral:rRNA from 1 species